ensembl:lncRNA LINC00511 long intergenic non-protein coding RNA 511
AUCUUCCAGAGCCUCCUGACUGCUAGGAAGGCAGCAGCCAGGGUCAAGUGACAUGAAGACAUGGGGUUGGUGGCGGGGGCGCCUUGUGAGAAUGCAAGGGAAAGGGGAUUCUUCCUGGCCUGCCUGGUCAGUCAGACCCAUGCAGGAGACCUCUCCAGGUACACAUAUUUCCUGCUACUGAAUGGCUUAGACUGGGAUUUGCAAGGAACUACGAAGUCCAAGACCUUUGCCUUUCUUUUAGAAGAAGGCACCAGCUGGUUCUCCAAUGUUGAAGGUCUUCUCCAGAGAUGAACUCUGAAAGCCACAUGUUGAGAUGGCCCCAUUACAGGAUGGAGAGCACCUGAACCCCCAAGUUAUGGACUAGAAGAAGACAGUUGCCCUGGAAAAUCAUCUGACCCACAUUGGACUUUAUGUGAGGGGGAAAUAAACCUUUAUUAUGUUAAGCUACACAAUAAUAAAUAACAACAAUAA